AUGAAGUCGGAAUUGCUAGUAAUCGCGGAUCAGCAUGCCGCGGUGAAUACGUUCUCGGGCCUUGUACACACCGCCCGUCACACAUGGGAGUCGGUAACACCCGAAGUCUGUAGCCUGACGCAAGAGGGCGCAGCCGAAGGUGGGAUUGAUGACUGGGGUGAAGUCGUAACAAGGUACC
rnacentral:rRNA from 1 species